rnacentral:rRNA from 1 species
CACGUAGGGUGCGAGCGUUGUCCGGAAUCAUUGGGCGUAAAGAGCGCGUAGGCGGUCCGGUAAGUCCGCUGUGAAAGUCAAGGGCUCAACCCUUGAAUGCCGGUGGAUACUGUCGGGCUAGAGUCCGGAAGAGGCGAGUGGAAUUCCUGGUGUAGCGGUGAAAUGCGCAGAUAUCAGGAGGAACACCAAUGGCGAAGGCAGCUCGCUGGGACGGUACUGACGCUGAGGCGCGAAAGCGUGGGGAGCAAACAGG